UGAUACACGGACCAAGGAGUUUGACAUGUGCGCGAGUCACUGGGUCGCAAAACCCAAAGGCGCAAUGAAAGUAAAUUCCAGUUUGGCUGGAUGACAUGGGACCCUCUGCCCCCGAGGUGGGGGAGCACCAUGGUCCCGUCCUUUCUGCAUUGUCAUAUGGGCGGAGAUAGAGCGUACACGUUGGGACCCGAAAGAUGGUGAACUAUGCCUGAGCAGGAUGAAGCCAGAGGAAACUCUGGUGGAGGUCCAUAGCGAUUCUGACGUGCAAAUCGAUCGUCGGACUUGGGUAUAGGGGCGAAAGAAAAUCUAACCAUCUAGU
rnacentral:rRNA from 1 species